GGCUGUGGGGGUCGUCAUCAAGGACACACUAAGGGCUUGCUCUGGGCCAAGAAGCUAUUCAACGUGUUGAGGGUGUUGCUUACUGAAUGCUCCAGCACCCUCUGAUAGCACUGUUACUACUGCCAUCUGACUGGAGAGGAAACUGAGGCACAGAGAUCAUAAAGGGACUUGUCUGGCAAGUAACAGCUUGGAAACAAGCCAAGCAGUUCAGAGUGGCAGUGCUGGGGUUACAGAUGCACACUGCUGCAUCGUCCAGCUCGUGCGGGGUCAGGCCUCGUGAGGCCUCCGUCAGCAGGCUUGGUGGUGGGUGUUUUUUACCUGCUGAGUCAUCUUCUCAACUCCUGUUUUGUUUUUUUAAGCCAUUGUUUUCCUUAAAAUCUGUCAACUAAAAGGUUUUAUGUAUUACUUAUUUGUGUGUGCUAUGUGUGUGGAGAUUAGAGGACAACUUCGUCGUUGGUUUUCUCUUACUAUGUGGGACUCAGGGUUGGAACUCCCAGCCAUCAGAGAUGGCAGCAAGCGCCUUUAACCACUAAGCCGUGUUCCUGGCCCCUCUGGAGACUAUUGGAAGGAGAAGACAUUUAUACUGCAGGAAAGGACACGUUAAAAAUGAAUAAAAAGGUUGGGCAUGGUAGCACAAAAUUUCAGCACUUACUUGGAGUUUGAGGCUAGCCUGGUCCAAAUAGUGAGUUCCAGGGAGCCCUAGGUAAGAACUUGUUUCAAAACAAAGAAAGAAAAUGGCUAGUCAUGGUGGCCCCUGUGUUUUAUUUCAAACACGUUUGAAGGUAAUAGCAGGUGGAUCUCUGAGUUCAGGCAACCCUGAUCCACACAGUGACUUCCAGACCUGCCAAGAUUACAAAGUGAGACCCUGCCUAUAAACAAACACACACACAAAUAAUAGAAUGGAGACAGAAAAAUAGUAUUGAAUUAGAGCUAGUUAUUUGGGGCCUGUUGGAUUAAAAUAACUGUGGCUCCCAGGUAUUGAGGAGGCAAAAUUGAGUCUAUACAUGUCCAUAUUUUUCUCUUAGCAAUAUAGUAUUAUUAUUUUUUUGAAUUUGAGUGGAGUGGGGUGUGUAGGGCCACUGUCCAUGUGUGGAGGCCAGAGGGUGACUCUGAAGAAUUGUUCUCUCUUACCAUGUGGGUCAGGCUAUCAGGCUUGGUGGCUUCAUACACUCAGCUGUUUUGCCAGCCCCACAAUAUACUUUUAUAACUGUGUAUUAGUGAUAUUGUUAUAGGAAUUUUAAGUCAUCUCGAGGUGAUUUAAAGUCUGGGAGAUUGGGGAUAUAACUCAGUUGAUACAAUAUGCUUAUCAUCUACGGGAGGCUGUGCGUAGCCCCAAUGCAAGUACUGUGCCAGUUUCUGUAAUGCACUUGGUUUGGCCUCUGUGAGGACCUGGAACUAAUUCCUCAUAAAAUGUGUACUUGCAGAAGUCUUGGUAGAGCUUUAGGACGCUGGUGCUUUUUUGAAAAAGGGUCUCAAACAUGGAGUCUUCCUGCCUCAGCCUUCUAAGGGCUAGCCUUACAGUUCUCCACUACAGCACCUAACCACAGCUGGUGUCCUUUCUUCCGCUGAGGGUGAGGCCCAUGUUGUAAAAGAGAGGUCUUGUGAUAUGUCCAAGAGAGUGGAUGGGACCCUGGCCCAUCAUGGGCUGGCAUUGUCCUCAUAGUCUAUCCAAUCAUUUCGGAGAGACUUGUAAGAGUUGACCCUUUCACGAGGUCUGCCCUUGUGAAACACUGCCAUCUUGUGUUGAUGAGUGGUGUGUGUGUGUGUUGACUACCAUAUCCAAUUCUUCCUGGCUGUUUCAUUGCCCUCAGGCCUAAGAUGAAGUACUCACUUACCUGUGGACUUCAUUAUUCUAAAUCAGUUUCUUAGGAAGUGAACAUUAGUUCCAAUAUCAAUAUAUUCCUUUACUGAAGCGAAAAUUCACACACACACAUAUAUGCACAUUCAUGCACAUAGAUGGGCCAAAGGAGGGCAUCAGAUAUUGUGUUCAUUCACUCAGAACAUCUGAGCUCUGCUGAUAAGGCAGUAGAGCUCCUGUCUCAGCUGAUUACUGCACUUGAGUUACACCUGUGUGCCACCAUGCCUACUUUUUAUGUAAGUCCUGGGAACUGAACUCAGGUCUUCACACUUGCCUAGCAAAGUACUCUUACCAACUGAGCCAUCUCUCCAGUCCCCAUCCUUGGGUUUCAACUUGUCAGUAGAGUCCUCGCUUCACAUACAGGGGCUUUUAUGACUUGGUCCCCACCACCUUCCUGCCCACGACCAGUGUGGCCUUUCUUCUGUUACUAUACCAGGCCUGCCAUACCUUUAGCCAAGACAUCUUUGCCCCAGGUGAUUGAAGGCCACCUCUUCUUCAUCUGUUUUAGCCUCUCUCAGGUCUUUGCAUAUAUGUCAGGAUGUCACCUGACCACCAUUUAAAAACUGUUCCUCUGUAGCUGGGUGUAAUGGCACAGCCCUGUAACCCCAGCUAUUCAAGAAGCUGAGGCGAGAGGAUCAGGCCUUGCCUUGGGACCUUAACUCAAAAGGUUAAAAUAAAAAUUUAAAAGCAAGGCUGGGGAUUUAGCUAAACAGUAGAAUGCUUGCACAGUGCACAUAGGGUCCUGAGUUCAAUCUUCUGUAGUAUAAAAUAAAAACAAUUGGAAAACUG